rnacentral:lncRNA from 1 species
AAUCAUUCUGGGUCAAGCUGAAAUUUGUUCAUUUGCAUUUUUACACUUUUACACUGACCACAAAAACAAAUAGUAUAUGCCAGUGACAACACAAAGAAAAUUCUGCUCAAAGUUAAUAAGAAAAUACCCCUAAUUAUUAUAAAUUUAAAAUUUAUAAUAAUCAGGGAUAUUUUAGUAAAAUUAUUCAUUAUGAUACAGUACCAUACCAUCAAACCAAACAAAAAAAUAGUUAUUAAACAGAGUGAAUGAUGUAGUCUAUCCAAACAUUGUAUUGUACGAUACUAUACAGUACCAUACCAUACCAUAUUUUACUGUACAUUAUGAAAUCAUGACAAACCACCAUCCAAACAGAGUGUAAGGGUGUCGCCUUCCAUGGGCUCAAAUAUCAAUUAUUGGGAGGCAUCUUCCCAAUUUUGAGGUCCUGAAAUUGCAGAACAACGCGAUUGAGGGUAGUCAUUGGGAGAUGGAAGUUGGUGAUUUUCCCAGUCUUAACUUGUUGAAAUUAGAUACGCUAGACCUAGAGGUAUGGUCCCUGAAGCCGAACAGGAGGGCUUUCCUUCAGACCCUUAUCCCUGUCCACGGAAGGUUGUUUCCCAGCCUUAAGCGAUUGGAGUUGUAAAAAUAUAAGAAACUGAAGGAGCUCCCUGCUAAGUUUCAGAAAUGUGUAAAACUAAAAGAGAUCAAGGUGAAGUGGUGCAACCCAUUCCUUCAAGAUUCAGCCAGGAGAAUUAUGGAAAAAUAAUUUUCACAACAAGGGGUGGCAAAAUUAUCCCAAACCCAAAUGACCCGCCCAACCGCAAAAUACUUGAUAAAAUUGGGCCGAGAGGGUUUCACAUUGAUGGAUUUAGACAAGAGCUCGGGGGAUUGGCGCAAGAGCACUUUUGAUAAGGGAAAAAAGUCCACAUAACCUUCCAUAUAUGUUAAUUGUAAUUUAUUGCAUAACUUUUAU